AAUAAGGUUCCUUUUUAUUAUCGACAAUUUAUGGUUGAACUUUUUGUUUCCUAAUCUAUGUAGUGUAAGUUGCGGAACGUUUGUUCCGACUUCGUCUAGCCUCGGAUCGCAUCGAGCAGUUUAUUAUUUUAGAGCGAACCCCUUCCUCUUGUAUUCCUUGUCUUUCUUUAUUCUUCACUCACCCUUCUUUAAAUUCGUACCCUCUCUCUGUUGCUUCUUCUCUUUUUAUGAACGCUUCGAUAGCAUGGAGCUUUGAGAUAAUGCAGUCUCUCGAAUUCUUUGGAUCGCAGUUUUAAAAAUCCACGUACAUACGGCAUUUCGUAGAAAAAUCCGACUAUCCUUGGACUUACACUGAAAGUCAUUACCCUUUAUCGUUCCCAUUACUUUUGAACUUAGUAACAAGCUUUUUUAUUCUAUUCCACUACGCAGGAUUUUCAUCAGAAUCAUCACCCACUAUGGACAUACAUGUAUAUGCGCUAGAAAUAGACUCUUUAAUUAUUAUAAUUAUGAUAUAUUAAUCUAAAUAUAAGUUCGUGUGAAAGAAGUCUAUGAUAUGAUAGGUAGGUAUAGUUACUAUAAAAGGAAGUUAUUAUGAUAGAUAGAUAAUAUUUGAAUUUAACAUUAAAAUUGCCGAAUAAAAAUCUCUUCGUUUACCAGAUAACACUAACAAAAAAUAGAGGGAUAAGCUUUUUCCUUAGACAAAAAUGUAUUGCAGAAAUGAGAACACCAUGAACCACGGGCCAAAGAUGGCCUGUCAACGGCGUCAUUGAGUGACUUCGUUUACACCUCGUGCAUAUUCGUCGUCUGGUUUACGUGCAAUCCGGAUGACGCAGUAAGAAGUGGUUCUUUUCGUACCACUUUAGUAUCUGGACCAGGCGUUAUUGAUUAAGGAAAAAAUCGGUCAAUAAACCCGCCAACGAAACGGGACAGGAUAUCAUAAACCUUACUUCAUAAAAAAUGUGAUAAAGAAUGGGAGAAAAUUUUGAUUGUAAAAUAGUACGACAAUGAGAUUUGAAUACACUACUAAAGGAAAUCAGAGUAAUUUUCAUUCCUUCACGAGCAGAAUCCGAUCUGCGGAUCGAAGAAGAGAAAAAUCUUAAUGCGAAAUUAAUGUCGGUUAUGAAUCUGUUUCGUGUAAGCCGACACCACAUGCGAUCCGCCAUCUCGCAUAACGUUCUCUAAUUUAUUACAUAAGCAAUCCCGCGCCUCUUGAUUCUCUAAGCCGAUUCAAGGAAAUCAUCGAUAGAUAGCGAGGCUCGAAUCGUCAAAACAAAGGUCCAUCUAUCUGUAAGUGACGACGGAGCAAUGAAACUCGUGGUUGCAAUUAUAUUCAAGUAUACCAACACAAUAUAUUUUACCCUAAUCAUAGUCACACGUUUCACAUACUGUAUUUGAUCUGAUCAUAGUACGUUGGCGGUGUUGUGGCUGUAUGAUGAAUGUUCGACGAAACUGUGCCAGGUAUAUUUGAUAUACUCAAGCCACUACUCAAGCUGCCGAUAUUGC